GCCCGAUUAGCUCAGCUGGUUAGAGCGUCGUACUAAUAUCUUAUCUUGCGAGAUAUCAAGUUCAUGCGAAGGUCAACAGUUCAAUCCUGUUAUUGGGCA
rnacentral:tRNA from 2 species